rnacentral:tRNA from 1 species
GGGCAUAUAGCUCAGUCGGUUAGAGCACCACUCUUAUAAAGUGGGGGUCGACGGUUCAAGUCCGUCUAUGCCCA